rnacentral:rRNA from 1 species
AUUGAACGCUGGCGGCAGGCCUAACACAUGCAAGUCGAGCGGUAGAGAGGUGCUUGCAUCUCUUGAGAGCGGCGGACGGGUGAGUAAUGCCUAGGAAUCUGCCUAGUGGUGGGGGAUAACGUUCGGAAACGGACGCUAAUACCGCAUACGUCCUACGGGAGAAAGCGGGGGAUCUUCGGACCUCGCGCCAUUAGAUGAGCCUAGGUCGGAUUAGCUAGUUGGUGAGGUAAUGGCUCACCAAGGCGACGAUCCGUAACUGGUCUGAGAGGAUGAUCAGUCACACUGGAACUGAGACACGGUCCAGACUCCUACGGGAGGCAGCAGUGGGGAAUAUUGGACAAUGGCGAAAGCCUGAUCCAGCCAUGCCGCGUGUGUGAAGAAAGGUCUUCGGAUUGUAAAGAC